rnacentral:lncRNA from 1 species
CUUGUACUUUGCAUGAGCCUUACCUGCAAGGCGAACUUCCGUGUGCUCAACCUUCCACCCUUGUUCUCUUCCCUCUUCUCUAACUUUGCUAACGCUCCACCUCCUCACAGACCUUCACUUCCCACCUCUCUGUCCUAUCUGCACUGAGAGGCUAUGCUUUUUGUAACACUUGCGUCUCUUUCCUUUUCCGACCCUUACUCUGUCACUGGCUGAUGGACAGUGUCUUAUCUCCUUACUCAGGCUUAGGGCUCCUGAAGGUUCAGGAAGCAGGGCUGUUCUGAUGGCGAGUCCCGUCCCAAGUGAGCCUGCAUGGGUGAGGAGGAGCUGGAGGAGACUGUAUUCCUGCAGGAGGGAUGGCGUGAAUGUCACCUGAGGGAGGAACCUGCUCAGCCUGUUGGGGCAUGUUACUGGUUAUUAAUCAACAGAGCUAGAACCCAAACCCCACCUUUCCGACUUCAGCGCCUCGGGACUAAACACUGAAGUCACCCAUGAGGAACAAACACAAUGGAAGAACCCUAAGCUGGCAAUCAGCAUUCAGAGCCUAUUCUCCGCCCCUGG